UCCCUCAAAAGAAAACUUAUUUUAAAAAUUAUCAAAUUUUUAAAAUUACAUAAAUAUAAAAGAUUUAUGUAAAAACAAAAGCGAAUUGAAACAUCUUAGUAGCUUGGAAAAAAAUCAAAAGAGAGUUCGAAAGUAAUGGCGAAUGAAAUCGAAUCAGUUUAAGGUUAAUAAUUUUAAAAUAAUGAAAUGUCGCCCAUUUGAAACAAAGUAAAUAAUUAAGACUUGUAAUUGCAAAAUUAUUUUCCGUUGAUCGAAGCGUAAGAAACUAUGUUUCGUUGUAGAAUUAACUACUUAACAAAAAAUCUAAAUUUUUAUAGUGUAAAGUACCGUGAGGGAAAGUAAUUAACUUUGGGUAGCUUUUAAUUUAUUAGCUUAUUAACAAUUUUUUUAAUAAAAAUGUGUACCUUUUGCAUUAUGGUUCAGGGAGUUAAAUUUAAUAGCAAGCUUAAGUAAAAUUAUAAAGCGUAAAAAAAUUGUUUUAGUAGUUAUUAAAUUUAGACACGAAACCGCUGUGAUCUAAUCAAAUUCAGGUUGAAAAUUUAGUAAAAAUAAAUGGGAAGACCGAAGUAGUGUUUGUUGCAAAAAACUUAUGUGAAAUUUGAUUUGGAGUGAAAGGCUAAUCAAACGCGGCGAUUGCUUGUUUUCUGCGAAAUUUUUUUUAGAAAAGCGUUUAAAAAUUAAAUUUAUAAGGUAAAGCACUGGUUUUUUU
rnacentral:rRNA from 13 species